rnacentral:rRNA from 1 species
AAUGAACGUUGGCGGCGUGGAUUAGGCAUGCAAGUCGAGCGGAAAGGCCCGCAAGGGCACUCGAGCGGCGUAAGGGACAGUAAUGUGUAGGUACGUACCCCUGGGUCUAGGAUAGCUGCGGGAAACUGCAAUUAAUACUAGAUGAUGUCUUCGGACCAAAGGUGUGAUUCCACCCAGGGAGCGGCCUACAUCCUAUUAGCUAGUUGGUGAGGUGACGGCUCACCAAGGCGAAGAUGGGUAGCAGGUGUGAGAGCACGACCUGCGUCACUGGGACUGAGACACUGCCCAGACACCUACGGGUGGCUGCAGGCGAGAAUCUGCGGCAAUGGGCGAAAGCCUGACCGAGCGACGCCGCGGGCGGGAUGAAGGCCGUCGGGUUGUAAACCGCUGUCGGAGGGGAUGAAAUGCCGAUGGGUACUCCCAACGGCUUGACGGAUCCUCGGAGGAAGGGUGGGCUAAGUUCGUG